ACCCUGGUAGUCCACGCUGUAAACGAUGUCGAUUUGGAGUUUGUUGCCUAGAGUGAUGGGCUCCGAAGCUAACGCGAUAAAUCGACCGCCUGGGGAGUACGGCCGCAAGGUUAAAACUCAAAUGAAUUGACGGGGGCCCGCACAAGCGGUGGAGCAUGUGGUUUAAUUCGAUGCAACGCGAAGAACCUUACCUGGUCUUGACAUCCAUAGAAUUCUGCAGAGAUGUGGGAGUGCCUUCGGGAACUAUGAGACAGGUGCUGCAUGGCUGUCGUCAGCUCGUGUUGUGAAAUGUUGGGUUAAGUCCCGCAACGAGCGCAACCCUUAUUCUUUGUUGCCAGCGAUUUGGUCGGGAACUCAAAGGAGACUGCCGUUGAUAAAGCGGAGGAAGGUGGGGACGACGUCAAGUCAUCAUGGCCCUUACGACCAGGGCUACACACGUGCUACAAUGGCGUAUACAAAGGGAAGCGAAGGUGCGAGCUGGAGCGGAUCUCAUAAAGUACGUCUAAGUUCGGAUUGGAGUCUGCAACUCGACUCCAUGAAGUCGGAAUCGCUAGUAAUCGUAGAUCAGAAUGCUACGGUGAAUACGUUCCCGGGCCUUGUACACACCGCCCGUCACACCAUGGGAGUGGGUUGCACCAGAAGUAGAUAGCUUAACCGCGAGGGGGGCGUUUACCACGGUGUGAUUCAUGACUGGGGUGAAGUCGUAACAAGGUAACCA
rnacentral:rRNA from 1 species